GGAUCAUGGUCAUGCUGGAAUACCCAUCCACGACCCAUUUUCAAUGCCCUGGCUGAGGGAAGGAGGUUCUCACCCAAGAUUUGAUGCGGUGAAGUUGUCCUGUCCCCUUAGCAGAAAAACACCCCCAAAGCAUAACAUUUCCACCUCCAUGUUUGAUGGUGG